rnacentral:rRNA from 1 species
GGGGGGGGGGGGGGGGGGGGCGGGCGGGGGGGGGGGGAGGGGGGCGGGCGGGGGGAGGGGCGCACGGGUGCGUGGCGCGGGGGAACCGGCCCGUGGGGGCGGAGUAACGCCCCGGAAGGGGUGCGAAUACCGGAUAAUGUCGUCGGACCAAAGAGUUAUCGCCUGUGGAUGGGCCCGCGUUGGAUUAGCUAGUUGGUAGGGUAAACGCCUACCAAGGCGACGCUCCAUAGCUGGUCUGAGAGGAUGAUCAGCCACACUGGGACUGAGACACGGCCCAGACUCCUACGGGAGGCAGCAGUGGGGAAUAUUGGACAAUGGGCGAAAGCCUGAUCCAGCAAUGCCGCGUGAGUGAUGAAGGCCUUAGGGUUGUAAAGCUCUUUUACCCGGGAUGAUAAUGACAGUACCGGGAGAAUAAGCUCCGGCUAACUCCGUG